rnacentral:rRNA from 1 species
UCAGCUUGUUGGUGAGGUAAUGGCUCACCAAGGCUAUGACGGAUAUCUGGUUUGAGAGGAUGAUCAGACACACUGGAACUGAGACACGGUCCAGACUCCUACGGGAGGCAGCAGUGAGGAAUAUUGCACAAUGGAGGAAACUCUGAUGCAGCAACGCCGCGUGGAGGAUGACGCAUUUCGGUGUGUAAACUCCUUUUAUUAGGGAAGAUAAUGACGGUACCUAAUGAAUAAGCACCGGCUAACUCCGUGCCAGCAGCCGCGGUAAUACGGAGGGUGCAAGCGUUACUCGGAAUCACUGGGCGUAAAGGGUGCGUAGGCUGGCUUUUAAGUCAGAUGUGAAAUCCAAUGGCUCAACCAUUGAACUGCAUUUGAAACUGAAAGCCUAGAGUUCAGAAGGGGCAGAUGGAAUUAGUGGUGUAGGGGUAAAAUCCGUAGAUAUCACUAGGAAUAUCAAAAGCGAAGGCGAU